GUGCAGCUGGUGCUAUACAUGCAGUCGAGCGGACCGACGGGAGCUUGCUCCCUUAGGUCAGCGGCGGACGGGUGAGUAACACGUGGGUAACCUGCCUGUAAGACUGGGAUAACUCCGGGAAACCGGGGCUAAUACCGGAUGCUUGAUUGAACCGCAUGGUUCAAUCAUAAAAGGUGGCUUUUAGCUACCACUUACAGAUGGACCCGCGGCGCAUUAGCUAGUUGGUGAGGUAACGGCUCACCAAGGCGACGAUGCGUAGCCGACCUGAGAGGGUGAUCGGCCACACUGGGACUGAGACACGGCCCAGACUCCUACGGGAGGCAGCAGUAGGGAAUCUUCCGCAAUGGACGAAAGUCUGACGGAGCAACGCCGCGUGAGUGAUGAAGGUUUUCGGAUCGUAAAACUCUGUUGUUAGGGAAGAACAAGUACCGUUCGAAUAGGGCGGUACCUUGACGGUACCUAACCAGAAAGCCACGGCUAACUACGUGCCAGCAGCCGCGGUAAUACGUAGGUGGCAAGCGUUGUCCGGAAUUAUUGGGCGUAAAGCGCGCGCAGGCGGUUUCUUAAGUCUGAUGUGAAAGCCCCCGGCUCAACCGGGGAGGGUCAUUGGAAACUGGGGAACUUGAGUGCAGAAGAGGAGAGUGGAAUUCCACGUGUAGCGGUGAAAUGCGUAGAGAUGUGGAGGAACACCAGUGGCGAAGGCGACUCUCUGGUCUGUAACUGACGCUGAGGCGCGAAAGCGUGGGGAGCGAACAGGAUUAGAUACCCUGGUAGUCCACGCCGUAAACGAUGAGUGCUAAGUGUUAGAGGGUUUCCGCCCUUUAGUGCUGCAGCAAACGCAUUAAGCACUCCGCCUGGGGAGUACGGUCGCAAGACUGAAACUCAAAGGAAUUGACGGGGGCCCGCACAAGCGGUGGAGCAUGUGGUUUAAUUCGAAGCAACGCGAAGAA
rnacentral:rRNA from 1 species